CAGUAGCCGCGGGAAUACAGAGGGUGCGAGCGUUAAUCGGAUUUACUGGGCGUAAAGCGUGCGUAGGCGGCUAAUUGAGUCGGAUGUGAAAUCCCCGAGCUUAACUUGGGAAUUGCAUUCGAUACUGGUUAGCUAGAGUGUGGGAGAGGAUGGUAGAAUUCCAGGUGUAGCGGUGAAAUGCGUAGAGAUCUGGAGGAAUACCGAUGGCGAAGGCAGCCAUCUGGCCUAACACUGACGCUGAGGUACGAAAGCAUGGGGAGCAAACAGGAUUAGAUACCCCUGUAGUCCCUGUCUCUUAUAC
rnacentral:rRNA from 1 species